GGGCGCCAUGGGGCGCCGGGCCCGUCCCCGCCUGGGCUCCGGUGCCUCCGCCCUUCUGAGCCCGGCGCCGCCCGCCCCCCGGCGGAGGGAAGGGGAGCCGCGCCCCGGCGCGCUGCCGCGGGAGUAGGAAGGAAGGUGGCGCAGCGGCUUGCGCUCCGGCGCCCGAGACCCUCCGUCCGCGGCGCUUCCUUGCUCGCCCCUUUCCCUCUCCCUCUCCCUUUCCCUUUCCCGCCGCCCUCUCCCUUUCCCUUUCCCCCGCCAUGUUCCUGCGGGAGCCCCCCGCGACGCCGGUCUACCCCUGGGAGCGCGGGGUGGUCCUCGUCUCCUGCGCCCUCUCCAUCCUGGGCUCCUGCCUGCUGGUGGGCACCCAGGCCCGCUGGCCCGAGCUCCGGACGCGGCCGCGCCAGCUGCUCGCCUGCCUCUCGCUGGCCGACCUGCUCUCCGCCGCCGCCUACGCCUACGGGGUGCUGCGGGACUUCCAGGCCUCCUCCUGGGACUGCGUGGCGCAGGGCGCCCUCUCCACCUUCGCCAACACCAGCUCUUUCUUCUGGACGAUGGGCAUCGCGCUGGACCUCUACCUCACCAUCGUCCGCGGCUCCGCCGGCGCCGGGCUGCUCUGCUGCUUCCACGUGGUGAGCUGGGGGGUUCCCCUUGGCAUCACGGCAGCAGCUGUGGGCUUGACAAAGAUCGGUUACGAUGCAUCUGACGUCUCGGUUGGCUGGUGCUGGAUUGACAUCAAUGCGCAAGACCGGCUUCUCUGGAUGCUGCUGGGAGGGAAGUUGUGGGAAAUUCUUGCCUAUGUGACCUUGCCAAUUUUUUACGUCCUGAUCAAGAAGCACAUCAACCAAGCGCGCACAGCCCUCUCUGAGUAUCGCCCCAUUUUGUCGAGGACCCCGUCUUCCCAGCUGAGAACGUCCAUAGCAGACAAGAAGCUGACCUUAAUCCCAAUUAUUUUCAUCUUUCUGCGCAUCUGGAGUACCAUCCGGUUUGUCCUGACCCUUUGUGGUUCCCCUGCAGUCCAAAACUGGCUCCUGGUGAUCCUUCACGGUGUCGGAAACACAUUUCAAGGAGGGGCAAAUUGCAUCCUGUUUGUUUUUUGCACACGGGUGGUCCGGAAUAAGCUGUCUUCUUUGUUGUGCUGCUGGCAAUUUGAGAAUCCAGAGCCUCCCCCGCCGAGUCUGGAGACCAGUUUCCAGACUGAGGCUCCCCCCUGCAAAGACUGGGAAGUGCAAGGCGGUAAUAGCACAGGGGCAGACUUCUCCAGCACCUGAACCUCAGAGGGCUGCAUCGUCAUGGAAAACACCUCCUUGCCUGGUGCAGUUUUAACCGUAACUGAAAAGAUCCCAAGUGCCUGUAAAGGAAGAUAUUCAUUCAACUAAGGGGGAAAAAAUCCAUAGACUUUUAGACUUUUUACUGAAAAAGGAAAUCACUGAACUCACAACAAAAAUGCCUGGAUCUGAAUUCCUCCAAAAAAACUUUCUUAUUUCUCAGGGCUUUUUUUUUUUUCCUGGAAGACGCUAUGAAGACCUGUUUCUACUUUUAAUUCAAGAUUUAAAAAAAGAGAGAGAGAGAGAGAAGAAAAUAUUGAGAUAAAUUUUAAGGAACAAGAUUAUCCAGGCUCAAGGCUGCCUAAAAACCUUGUUUGGAAAUCAGACAGAAGAGAGGGGGGGAGACUCCAAGUCCCAUCAUCCUCCGCAGGGAUCAGAGCAGUUGGGUGAAGCCAUCUUCUUAAAAUGAUGUGUCUGAGAUUGGUUUAGAUCAAGGUAAUUGAGGGUGGUACAGUCUUCACGUGCGUGGGGACUGUAAUAGCGUGGAUAUCAAUAAAUUUCGAUUUUACUGCAGCACAGCCCCAGCAGAGUGAUUAAACCUUGACUCAGAAGUUUCUUGGUUCCAGCUGAUACCCCCACUUUUUCAGACAGUGCCUGUUGCCUUUGAAUAAAUGCUGCAAAAUUUU